AUACAUCAUGUUCUUGAUGAUUGUCGUGUGAGUCCAAUUGGACAGCAAUUAUAACUUGAUCUCGGCAGACAUGGUGGUGGUCAUGUCUUCAUGGACUAAUGCCAACAUUGGAUUUAUUGGUGGAGAAUCAACGGAUCGUUUCUUUAGCAUAAAAGAAGACACUCUCUUCUGCAAACAACUAGCGGAUUCUCUGGCCAAGUCACGUUAACAAAAGUUACCCGAAAAGAUCAUAGCCGGACGGACAACGGCGGGGUCCAUGAAGGGCAGCGCACGCCGUGACCGAGAGCGGACGAUGGUGCGCUUCCGCUCAUGUGAAGCUGAGGUGAGACCACCACUCCAAGGAAGGGGACGCGUCGCUUUGUCCAUAUCGACAGCCCCCAUGUGAGAGCCACGCCAUCCGUGUCUCCUCCUUGGAACUCUAAACCAGUCGCCCUACGCUGUAGAUCUCGGGGAGCCACAAGUCCCGCGUCCGAGUAUUGCAUGUUGUGUACUAACGAACGUAAAUGCUCGGAGAUAUCAUUUUGUUA